rnacentral:lncRNA from 1 species
AAUGCAUGAAAAUAAUGCUGCUUGAUUUGAUAGAGGACAAGUGUUGCAAGUUGUCUUCUAUUUGGCUUCUGUACUAGAUGCCCCAGGAUAUGGUGUCUUGGCACUGGAGGAAGUAGCAGAAAUAGGAAGGUCCCUCAUUCACUUCUGUUUGUCUGUCUGUCUGUCUGUCUUCUCUUCUUAUUUGCUACAGAACUAUUGGUUUUUUUAUUUGUUUACUUUUAAAUAUUUUUAAUUCAGGAUUUUAUAGGUGAAUAAUCUACAUUUUAUCCUUCCUCUUCCCUCCUCCCUCCUCCCUCUCUCUCUUCACUUCUCCCAACUCCUGAAUUUGUAGCCUCUUCUAUAUUUUUUUGAUAUCAAUUUAUAUAUUUGUGAAUACAUUUAUAAUACACACACACACAUAUAUAUGCGUAUAUACGUGCAUAUAUAUAGCCUACUGAGUGCAGUUAAUGCCUUUAUUUGCAUGUUUAGGGCUGAUCCCUUACAAUUAGAGUCUCAUCCUUGCAUAAGAAAAGACAGAAAGAAAAAUCUGACUUUUCCUCCCUUAUAAUCUGUGUACUGCCUGUAGAGGUGGAACAUUGUACAAAUUUUCCUCCAUCUAUUUUGGUAUGUCAGUUGGUGACUUCCUACCAUCUUGCCUGAAGAAGGCUGUGAACAAAUUUUCUGGCCUUACAUUAAUGAUCCUAUGAUCCUCAUUCCAUAGGAGUUCUUUUCAUACCUGGAAUGAAGACACUGAGGUACCAGUCAGACUGUGUAUACACAGGGCUUGCUGUGUUCCCUCUUCUCUGUUAUCUCUUGUCCAGUUGCACUCUGAAUAGUUGUCCGAGUCUCUCAACAUAAGCAUAAAAGCACCUACAUUUAGGGGGGCUUUUUUUUCUGAUACCACUAUACGCAAUAUUCUACACAAUACAUUUGUAUGAUUUUGUCUUCUAAUUCACCUUGCCUGUCAAGGAUCCCCAUAGUUAUCCUCGCAACAGGCAAGGAAAAUGGUAAUGCUUUAACCCCUACAUGUCUAUGGUAAGAUGUCUUUUAAUGUGGUUUGCUCAUUUUACACAACAUAUUGUCUGUAUCUAUUGUAUGAGAAGUGAAAGUGAGCAAUCAUUUAAAUAGAUAAGAAAUAGUUAAAGUGAGAGAAGGAAGAUUUAUCAAGUGUGCUUAUAUAUAAGAGAGGAACAAGAGGAACAAGGAGGUUCAGUAACCUCCCCAAACUCGGCCUCCCAAGUAUAGUGGACACCUUGACAUGAGGUUUAGGUUUAGGUUUAAAUGGAGGACAAGAGGUAUAGAUAAGCUGUCCUGGUCAUGGUGUCUUCCUCCCCAUCAGCAUUCCUUCCCUUCAAGGUGGUCUGACAGGUUUUCAGAACUGUAUGAAAGAGACAAACUCCUCCUCUGGCCUUCAGCCUUUUCUUUCUCCCAGCAUGAGAUUCCUGGGGAAAUUCCAGUUCCUGGGUGUGAUUUUGUUUUUUCCCAUAGUCUGACAACCAAAGGUAGAGCCAGAAGUAUCUCCUUAUAAUAUCUUCCUUGUUAGAGUCUGGGCUCAGUAUAGAUGGGCUCCAUGCUUAGGGUCUAGUGAGGCUCAACAAAGGAGGUAGGCUGUAUUCUCACCCUAGAAUGAUGAGGUUCCUAGAUUACUCUGUUGAUAGAAUUAAUAUCUGUGGACUUUUAGAACUAUUUGACUUUAUUUGCCUCUAAUUGCUACAAGACAACCUAUACCAGAAGCCAGGCUUGGCAUUCAGUUUUUGCCACCUAAUAGAAGGCAUAGGUGAAAAACGAAGAAGUCAAUCUUUAAACCAGUUCAUGUGGAGAUCUACGAGUUCUUCAAUACAAAUGAGAUCUCCAAGAAAGAAGGCGUGUUUGCAGAGAAUGAUGAAUUAGAACUUCAAUACUCUAGAGGGAUUGGAAUGUUAGAGCUACUGGUAAUCCAGCCUGCCUCCAUCUUGGGCUUGUAAGUCAUCUUAGAGUAAAACCAAACUAAAUUCAUUCCAUUUAAUCAUGUGAUUAAUUCCCUGUUUCUCAAAAUUUGGGCCUUGCCCCACCUGCAACAGUACAAAUGGUUCUGUACUGCCUCUUCCUGGAAACAGCAACUAUGCCUUUCAAAAAGUUUGUUACGAGCAUGUUGUUCUGAGAGACUUGUUAUGACCAUCGUGUUGUGGCCACCUUAUUAUGACUACCUUGUUAUGGCUACCUUGUUAAUUGAUAUGCCCACCUUGCAACCAUGAGUUUUGUUUCAAGAAAUUGUUAGGACUGGCUUGUUAUGCUUAUGUUCUCCUUCUUUAACCCACCUAUGUGCCUACCAAAUCACCCAUUUGGUAACACCCUACUUCUGAAUUAUAAAAACCCUUAUCUUGCUCAUUUUUAAAAAUUUUUAUUUUUAAUUUAUUUUUUACACUCCAAAUUCCAUCCCCUGUCCCCCCAUCCACCCUCUGUCUGCUCCACAUCCCACACCUCCCCCUACCUAGUCUCCAUGUGGAUGCCCCCACUCCCUACCCCACCUGACCUCUAAACUCCAUGGGGCCUCCAGUCUCUUGAGAGUUAGGUGCAUCAUUUCUGAAUUAACACAGACCCGGAAGUCCUCCACUGUAUGUGUGUUGGGGACCUCAUAUCAGCUGGUGUAUGCUGUCUGUUUUAUGGUCCAGAGUUUGAGAGAUCUCGGGGUCCUCAUCUUACUAAUAUCCAUGGCUGAUCUCUUGAACCCUACCUUUAGGGAGAGACAUCUCAUGUACAUGAAUUUUUAAAAAGCUUCCUUAAUUAAUUGCUUGCUUUAAAUAAUUUAGCCAUCAUUUGGGUCACUGGUCUUUCUCCUCAUAUCUAUAGGAAUAUCCUCAUGUCAAUAGGUCCAAAGAUUAACUACCUUACCUUUGACAGUGCUAGCUCCUACAAAAGCCAUCAUUCCUUGUUCAUCUUCCUUGAUUCAUUCUUUGUUUUCUUUAUUUUGUAAAAUUGUAAAUCUUCAUGAAAUUGCUUCCAAAUUAGAACAUAGAAUUUAGGGUAAGGUAAAUCUUUGUUCCUGGACCCUGGUCAUACAAAAUGGCGCUGUAAUUAAUUAACUCUUAUUCCCUUUUAAGAUGAGAGCUAUGGUUUUGGUAUCAACAGUUAUGGCACCAAACUUGGGGCCCUGAGAAUGAUAUACUUUUCACUGGAGAAGUGACAUGCUUGGAAACCCGGUGUCUGCAUAGGCCCACGGCAUUCAGACUAUCUGGUAUCCUUUCCUCACAUAAAUGGUUGGAGAGUUUUUCCACCAGAGCCCUGAACUUUCCUUGAUUUGGUCAACAGUCCAUUUGUUUAUGCUGAACCGAUUAAUUAAGGAUCCCAAUUUGACAGAUACCUUUCAGAUCUGCUUCCAGGUAUUUGGAUAGAGACACGUGGCUCAGUUUAGUUUGCUCCUUGUUUUCUUUCAGAUCCCUGAUGGUACCUGGGUUUUCUCUUUUAGAAUUGUGAAGACAUUUUGAUUUCUAUUUUAUUUGUUUUUUAAAUGUUUGAUUUUAUUACCAUUUGCUCUUUCUCUUCUGACACUCCUCCUCAAAGGACAAAGGACAAAUUCUAUUUUUGUGUGUGUUGGGGGGGUCUGCUUUUCCUGUCACUUUAGCAAACUUUUAGCUUAGGAAUUUUAUGAGAGCCUGAUGAUAAAGACACUGAAGACAAGAGGUAGUUGUUCCCUCCCACCCCUAAGUGUGGAGGUGUUAAGAACUUACAAAGGCCUCAUAAGGAAACCAAAAAACAAAACAAAACAAACAAACAAACAAAC